GAGAGUGGCGAACGGGUGAGUAAUAUAUCGGAACGUGCCCAGUCGGUGGGGGAUAACGUAGCGAAAGUUACGCUAAUACCGCAUACGAUCUACGGAUGAAAGCGGGGGGACUCGCAAGAGCCUCGCGCGAUUGGAGGGGCCGAUAUCAGAUUAGGUAGUUGGUGGGGUAAAGGCUCACCAAGCCAACGAUCUGUAGCUGGUCUGAGAGGACGACCAGCCACACUGGAACUGAGACACGGUCCAGACUCCUACGGGAGGCAGCAGUGGGGAAUUUUGGACAAUGGACGCAAGUCUGAUCCAGCCAUUCCGCGUGCAGGAUGAAGGCCCUCGGGUUGUAAACUGCUUUUGUACGGAACGAAAAGGUUUCUAUUAAUACUAGGAGCUCAUGACGGUACCGUAAGAAUAAGCACCGGCUAACUACGUG
rnacentral:rRNA from 1 species